rnacentral:lncRNA from 1 species
CCCAAGUGUCACACAAAUUGAAAUCAAAUCCAGGGAAGGUCAACCACAAGCCUAGAUGACCUGAGGCCACCAAGGGAACAUCCAUGGGGACUGCCAUGAAAGUGAACAAUCUGGCAGGCAACAAAAGAAAAACCACCACAACCAGAAUGUGAUUCCUGCCAGCAUGAAAGGUAGGGUGAUCAUCCCAGCCUGGAGUCAUCAAGGAGGCUUAAAGAAGAAGGCAGAAACUGUCAAACACCAGUGGCACUUGAUGGCAUCUGUCUUCCAUACUAUGGCAAGCAUCAGUUUUCCAGUACCAUCAACAUCUCCAUUCUUGGAGGGAGAAUGGCCAACGAAUCUAUAUGACCUGAAACAAGAAGAUACCACUGCACAUCAGGAAUAAACCAGCCAGCAAGAGUCAAUCAGAAGCCUCCUCACUCCUGCUCAUUUUCCAAACAGCUCAACACACAGGGCCAUCAGCAAAACAUGAAAAGUGAAAGUUGGUUUUUGCUAUCCCUUUCCUUU